rnacentral:rRNA from 1 species
UACAGAGGGGGCAAGCGUUGUUCGGAAUUACUGGGCGUAAAGGGCGCGUAGGCGGCCUGCUAAGUCGGACGUGAAAUCCCUGGGCUCAACCCAGGAACUGCGUCCGAUACUGGUUGGCUUGAAUCCGGGAGAGGGACGUGGAAUUCCAGGUGUAGCGGUGAAAUGCGUAGAUAUCUGGAGGAACACCGGUGGCGAAGGCGGCAUCCUGGACCGGCAUUGACGCUGAGGCGCGAAAGCCAGGGGAACAAACGGG